rnacentral:rRNA from 1 species
AGCAGUGAGGAAUAUUGGUCAAUAGCCUAAGUGGCUGAACCAGCAACUUGGAUGAAUGGAUAGGGAAAGCCGGUAAAAGGCAAUGUACCUAAUAGUAUUAGAAAUGAAUAUGAAAUUAACAAAGUUAAUUAAAGUUCUAAGUAGGUAAGUGAUUAUGACAAUAUCUGCUGAUGUCUUGACCAAGUCACGUGCCAGCAGUCGCGGUAAUACGUGGAAGACGAGUGUUAUUCAUCUUUAAUAGGUUUAAAGGGUACCUAGACAGUUAAUUAAGCAAGAAAUUGUACUAAUUUAACUAGAGUUUAAUAUAGGAAGGGUCAGUACGAUACGGAGUAGAGAUAAAAUUCUUUGAUCCUUAUGGGGACUGGUUUAGGCGAAGGCAACCUUUUAUGUAAAAACUGACGUUGAGGGACGAAGGCUCAAGGAGAAAAAAGAGGAUUAGAUACCCUUGUAUAGUGGGCAGACAAUGAUGAGUGCCAUACGUAAGAUAUUUUUUUGUGUAUAAAUGAAAGUGUAAGCACUCCACCUCAAGAGUAACGUGGCAACAUGGGAACUGAAAUCAUUAGGCCGUUUCUGAAACCCGUAGUGAAGUAUGUUGUUUAAUUUGUAGGUACGCAAAUAACCUUACCACAAUUUGAAUAGCUUGUGAUUUUACUCUUCGUUUUAUUAAUAAAAACGAGUAUGCUAUAUUUAUACAUUAAGUUAUAUAUAAUAUAGUAGAACUUGCAAGCUACAAGCGUUGCACGGCUGUUUUUAGUCAAUGUUGUGAAACUUUGGUUAGGUCCAUUAAAUUGAUGUAAGCCCUUGCUUUAUUUAUUAAAAAGUAGUACGCUGCUCCAUGGGUAGCGAUAUAAGGGACUAAGACAAGUCAUCAUGACCUGAACAUUGUGGGCUAUAGACGUGCCACAU